UAACCUGGUUGAUCCUGCCAGUAGUCAUAUGCUUGUCUCAAAGAUUAAGCCAUGCAUGUCUAAGUAUAAAUACUACACAGUAAAACUGCGAAUGGCUCAUUAAAACAGUUAUAGUUUAUUUGAUACAUUAAAUGGAUAACUGUAGAAAAACUAGAGCUAAUACAUGCCAAGACCGUAAGGUUGUAUUUAUUAGAUAUACCAAGAUGGUGAAUCAUAAUAACUUAGCAAAUCGGAGCAACGCUUCGAUAAAUCAUUCAAGUUUCUGACCUAUCAUGCUUUCGAUGGUAGUGUAUUGGACUACCAUGGCAGUCACGGGUAACGGAGAAUUAGGGUUCGAUUCCGGAGAAGGAGCCUGAGAAACGGCUACUACAUCUACGGAAGGCAGCAGGCGCGUAAAUUACCCAAUCCUAAAUCAGGGAGGUAGUGACAAGAUAUAACAACGCAACCAAAAAUUGCGAUUGUAGUGAGGGUUUUCUAAAACUAGCUUCGAGUACGAUUGGAGGGCAAGUCUGGUGCCAGCAGCCGCGGUAAUUCCAGCUCCAAUAGCGUAUAUUAAAGUUGUUGCAGUUAAAAAGCUCGUAGUUGGAUUUCAAGAGUCGCACCUGGGACAACUGGCGUGCUCUCUACGGCCUUUGGCUGUUACUGUGAGAAAAUUAGAGUGUUUCAAGCAGGCUAUUGCAGGAAUACAUUAGCAUGGAAUAACGAUGUGUCUGGAAUUGGGUAAAUUCUAGAUUACGUUUAAUAGGGACAGUUGGGGGCAUUAGUAUUUAAUAGUCAGAGGUGAAAUUCUUGGAUUUGUUAAAGACUAACGUAUGCGAAAGCAUUUGCCAAGGAUGUUUUCAUUAAUCAAGAACUAAAGAUAGGGGAUCAAAGACGAUCAGAUACCGUCGUAGUCCUAUCUAUAAACUAUGCCGACUAGGGAUUGGAGCGGGAAAGCACCGCUUCAGUACCUUAUGAGAAAUCAAAGUCUUUGGGUUCUGGGGGGAGUAUGGUCGCAAGACUGAAACUUAAAGAAAUUGACGGAAGGGCACCACCAGGAGUGGAGCCUGCGGCUUAAUUUGACUCAACACGGGGAAACUUACCAGGUCCAGACAUGACAAGGAUUGACAGAUUGAUAGCUCUUUCUUGAUUUUAUGGGUGGUGGUGCAUGGCCGUUCUUAGUUGGUGGAGUGAUUUGUCUGGUUAAUUCCGAUAACGAACGAGACCUUAACCUGCUAACUAGUCACUACUAUUUCAUAGGAGUAGACUUCUUAGAGGGACUAUGUUACGAUGAGUACAUGGAAGUUUGAGGCAAUAACAGGUCUGUGAUGCCCUUAUAUGUCCUGGGCUGCACGCGUGCUACACUGAUGCAUACAACAAGUUCCUAGCCCGUCAGGGUGUGGUAAUCUCGAAUAUGCAUCGUGAUGGGGAUAGAACUUUGCAAUUAUAGUUCUUGAACGAGGAAUUCCUAGUAAAUGUAAGUCAUCAUCUUACAUUGAUUAUGUCCCUGCCCUUUGUACACACCGCCCGUCGCUCCUACCAAACCGGUUGAUGUGGUGAACAAUUUGGACUCUUCGGAGGAAGACUUGUAAACCUUAUCAAUACGAGGAAGAGA
rnacentral:rRNA from 1 species